rnacentral:rRNA from 1 species
CCUACGGGAGGCAGCAGUGGGGAAUAUUGGGCAAUGGAGGAAACUCUGACCCAGCGACGCCGCGUGCGGGAUGAAGGCCUUCGGGUUGUAAACCGCUUUCAGUAGGGAAGAAGCGAAAGUGACGGUACCUACAGAAGAAGCACCGGCUAACUAUGUGCCAGCAGCCGCGGUAAUACAUAGGGUGCAAGCGUUGUCCGGAAUUAUUGGGCGUAAAGAGCUCGUAGGUGGUUCGUCACGUCGGAUGUGAAAAUCUGGGGCUCAACCCCAGACCUGCAUUCGAUACGGGCGAUCUAGAGUGUGGUAGGGGAGACUGGAAUUCCUGGUGUAGCGGUGGAAUGCGCAGAUAUCAGGAGGAACACCAAUGGCGAAGGCAGGUCUCUGGGCCAUUACUGACACUGAGGAGCGAAAGCGUGGGGAGCGAACAGGAUUAGAUACCCUGGUAGUCCACGCCGUAAACGGUGGGCACUAGUUGUGGGAACCUUCCACGGUUUCUGCGACGCAGCUACGCAUAGUGCCCGCCGCGGGAGGUACGANCGCAGAUAAACUACAAGAAGUAGACGGCGUGAGACGUGCCGAACGGACGACGACGAGGGAGGUAGG